GACGAACGCUGGCGGCGUGCCUAAUACAUGCAAGUAGAACGCUGAAGAGAGGAGCUUGCUCUUCUUGGAUGAGUUGCGAGCGGGUGAGUAACGCGUAGGUAACCUGCCUGGUAGCGGGGGAUAACUAUUGGAAACGAUAGCUAAUACCGCAUAAAAUGGAUUAUCGCAUGAUAAUCAAUUGAAAGGUGCAAAUGCAUCACUACCAGAUGGACCUGCGUUGUAUUAGCUAGUUGGUGGGGUAACGGCUCACCAAGGCGACGACACAUAGCCGACCUGAGAGGGUGAUCGGCCACACUGGGACUGAGACACGGCCCAGACUCCUACGGGAGGCAGCAGUAGGGAAUCUUCGGCAAUGGACGGAAGUCUGACCGAGCAACGCCGCGUGAGUGAAGAAGGUUUUCGGAUCGUAAAGCUCUGUUGUAAGAGAGGAACGAGUGUGAGAGUGGA
rnacentral:rRNA from 1 species